rnacentral:tRNA from 1 species
GGAUCGGUAGCUGAGAAGGUUUAGCGGCAGUCUGAAGAGCUGCAGACGAGGAUUCGAGCGCCUCCCGAUCCA